rnacentral:rRNA from 1 species
UACGAAGGGGGCUAGCGUUGCUCGGAAUCACUGGGCGUAAAGGGUGCGUAGGCGGGUCUUUAAGUCAGGGGUGAAAUCCUGGAGCUCAACUCCAGAACUGCCUUUGAUACUGAGGAUCUUGAGUUCGGGAGAGGUGAGUGGAACUGCGAGUGUAGAGGUGAAAUUCGUAGAUAUUCGGAAGAACACCAGUGGCGAAGGGCGGACUCACUGGCCCGGUACUGGACGCUGAGGUGCGAAAGCG